rnacentral:lncRNA from 1 species
CCAUCUUUUCCAUCUGCUUUAUUCUGUUUGGAAAAUGGCAAUGUAGAAUGUGUUUGGUGUAACCUUAAUCCUGACCAGCAUCUGGGCUCCGUUUGAAAAAAAAAAGCAUCUACUGCAAGGAAGGCUCUCCCUCCCUCAUGGCCGGAGUGGAAAAGCACGUUUAAAUCCCGAACUCGGCUUUCCCACGUGGUGUCUCGCUGAGCUGCUGUCACAGCCACGCCGCGCUCUCACAGGGCACCGGACUUCUUCCCUGCCCUGCCGGCAAGGCACAAGGUGAUGAACAUUUCUAAUCAAACCGUAUUUUCGGGACACCUCACUAAACCCCAAAUUUGUGCAGAAAAAGUCACUUGCCUCGUGAGUUAAAAAGCUCCUACUUUUUAAUUCCAC